rnacentral:rRNA from 1 species
AGCAGUCGCCGCGGGAAUACGUAGGUCCCGAGCGUUGUCCGGCUUUAUUGGGCGUAAAGCGAGCGCAGGCGGUUAGAUAAGUCUGAAGUUAAAGGCUGUGGCUUAACCAUAGUACGCUUUGGAAACUGUUUAACUUGAGUGCAAGAGGGGAGAGUGGAAUUCCAUGUGUAGCGGUGAAACGCGUAGAUAUAUGGAGGAACACCGGUGGCGAAAGCGGCUCUCUGGCUUGUAACUGACGCUGAGGCUUGAAAGCGUGGGGAGCAAACAGGAUUAGAUACCCCCGUAGUCCCUGUCUCUUAUACA